GCCAGAGCGGCCGCUGCCGCAACCAGCGUCAUCUUCUCAUGUAAUCCGGGCAUCCUCGGACAAAACGGGCUCCUCCUUCUCAGACGUUUGAAAACAACCACGCGAGGACGCCCGUUGAAGGAAACGCAACGCAGUGGUGAAGCAUGGCGUCCACCACGAGGAGGAGGACUGGGUGCGCGCGUGCAGGCUGUGCGAGGAGCACCGGUGGGGGUGAUUACUGUUGUUGCUGACUGACUGUUGUCUUGUGAAGUAACACUGAUUGUGCGUUGACGCUGUUUUCCCACUGAAAUCCUGUUUGUCCCUCCGGUGGGGAAGGUUCCCGUUAUCGGGCAGACAGAUAAACAAGACCAUUUCCCUCUGACGUUGCAUAACCCCCACGUUAUGGAUUUCUUCUGCUGGAGUCACAACAUGUUUGUCUGAAGAGGGACGCUUGUAUUCUGGUGUGUUCUAGUAUAUUCUAGACGGGCUCCUCUGCAGGCUUUAAUGACUCACCGAACGAUGAGGCUAGUUUAUCCCCUGGAAAAACAGAAAGGAACAAAAGUGUAUCUGUACGCAAUGAUGGACGAUCAAAAACAGACUUUCUGCUGGUAAUAACUGGAAUAGUCUAGAAUCAGACACAUCCUGCUCCCCAGUCGCAGGACAGACGUUAUCCUCCUGAGAGCCAGCCCAUUCCUUUGUGUCCUCUGUGGUGGACAUGUUGGUUUUGCAUCUCUUCUUUGACUCAUUUGAGUUCUCCUCUCAAGUCCUGCUGUACGCUCUAGAGGACAUCUUAUAUACAUACAUGUAUAUAUGUAUUUAUAUAUAGUAUAUAUAAGAGGACAUCCUAUCAAAUAUUAAUCAUUAUUUCUAACCUUGUCAAUGUCUUGACUAUAUGUUCUAUGAAAUGUUCAAUUCAUUUGAUAAAUAAAAGUGUGAGUUUU